rnacentral:rRNA from 1 species
UACGGGGGGGGCAAGCGUUGUUCGGAAUUACUGGGCGUAAAGGGCUCGUAGGUGGCCAACUAAGUCAGACGUGAAAUCCCUCAGCUUAACUGGGGAACUGCGUCUGAUACUGGAUGGCUUGAGUUUGGGAGAGGGAUGCGGAAUUCCAGGUGUAGCGGUGAAAUGCGUAGAUAUCUGGAGGAACACCGGUGGCGAAGGCGGCAUCCUGGACCAAUAUUGACGCUGAGGAGCGAAAGCUAGGGGAGCAAACGGG